GGUGGUUGUUGUUCUUCUUGCUGCUGGGUGUGGCCGUUUGGCGCUGAAGAAGUUUGUUCUGGUGGCAUUUUAUUUCCUCUGAAAGGGGAAAUCGGGAGAUGUCGCUCACGUAUUGAGCGAUUGGGAGGAUGAGGGUGGAGGGAUAUUUAGAUAGGAUUGCUCGCGACGCUUUUGCGAGGUUGCUACACAGCGCGAGAUCACAUGACUUAAAUUUGGAUGCGCGCUUUCUUGACCCAACAGAGGCAAAUAUGUAGUCCUUUGUUUCCCAGGAGGUUGGAGAGUAAUUUACUAGAAUAAAAUGC
rnacentral:sRNA from 2 species